rnacentral:misc_RNA from 2 species
AGCAGCCGCGGUAAUUCCAGCUCCAAUAGCGUAUAUUAAAGUUGUUGCAGUUAAAAAGCUCGUAGUUGAAUUUUGGAUUCUUCCAAUUGGUCCAUCUUUUAGAUGAGUACUGGUUGUGUGGGGUCUAUCCGCCUGGUGAUACGUAAUGUCCUUUAUUGGAUGUUGCGGGUAGUCAGGACCCUUACCUUGAAAAAAUUAGAGUGUUUAAAGCAGGCUUAUGCCGGAAUACAUUAGCAUGGAAUAAUAGAAUAGGACGAAGUUGUUUUAUUUUGUUGGUUUCUAGGACAACCGUAAUGAUUAAUAGGGAUAGUUGGGGGCAUUAGUAUUCAAUUGUCAGAGGUGAAAUUCUUGGAUUUAUUGAAGACUAACUACUGCGAAAGCAUUUGCCAAGGAUGUUUUCAUUAAUCAAGAACGAAAGUUAGGGGAUCGAAGACGAUCAGAUACCGUCGUAGUCUUAACCAUAAACUAUGCCGACUAGGGAUCGGGCGAUGUUGUUUCCAUGACUCGCUCGGCACCUUAU